UACGGGGGGAGCAAGCGUUGUUCGGAUUUACUGGGCGUAAAGGGCGCGUAGGCGGCCACCGCAAGUCGGUUGUGAAAUCUCUGGGCUUAACCCAGAAAGGUCAACCGAUACUGCGGGGCUAGAGUGCGGAAGGGGCAACUGGAAUUCUCGGUGUAGCGGUGAAAUGCGUAGAUAUCGAGAGGAACACCUGCGGCGAAGGCGGGUUGCUGGGCUGACACUGACGCUGAUGCGCGAAAGCUAGGGGAGCGAACGGG
rnacentral:rRNA from 1 species